GGAUCAAUACGUCGGUCGUGCUUUUUUGGUACGCACUGGCGUCAUUGGUUUCUCCUUUCUGACGAACCAUGAUGUCAUUAAUUUGGUGUUAUGGGGAGUUAGGACUGUUACUUUGAAAAAAUUAGAGUGUUUAAAGCAGGCAUUAGCUUGAAUACAUUAGCAUGGAAUAAUGAAAUAGGACGUUCGAUCCUAUUUUGUUGGUUUCUAGGAUCAACGUAAUGAUUAAUAGGGAUAGUUGGGGGCAUUAGUAUUCAAUUGUCAGAGGUGAAAUUCUUGGAUUUAUUGAAGACUAACUACUGCGAAAGCAUUUGCCAAGGAUGUUUUCAUUAAUCAAGAACGAAAGUUAGGGGAUCGAAGACGAUCAGAUACCGUCGUAGUCUUAACCAUAAACUAUGCCGACUAGGGAUCGGAUGAUGUUAAUUUUUUAAUGACUCAUUCGGCGCCUUACGGGAAACCAAAGUGUUUGGGUUCCGGGGGGAGUAUGGUCGCAAGGCUGAAACUUAAAGGAAUUGACGGAAGGGCACCACCAGGGGUGGAGCCUGCGGCUUAAUUUGACUCAACACGGGGAAACUCACCAGGUCCAGACAUAGUAAGGAUUGACAGAUUGAGAGC
rnacentral:rRNA from 1 species